UACAGGGGGUGCAAGCGUUGCUCGGAAUCACUGGGCGUAAAGCGUGCGCAGGCGGACCACCAAGUCGGGCGUGAAAGCCCUGGGCUCAACCCAGGAACUGCGUUCGAAACUAGCGGUCUUGAGUACGGGAGAGGUGAGCGGAAUUCCUGGUGUAGAGGUGAAAUUCGUAGAUAUCAGGAGGAACACCGGUGGCGAAAGCGGCUCACUGGCCCGAUACUGACGCUCAUGCACGAAAGCGUGGGGAGCAAACAGG
rnacentral:rRNA from 1 species